UGGACAGAUUAUUGUAUUCGACUGUAUUCAUGGCGUGAAAUAGGGGAUUACAUUGUUUUUAAAACGGAAAGUGAAUCAAUUAACAUAAUAGACUCCU
rnacentral:pre_miRNA from 1 species